UGGGGAAUAUUGCACAAUGGGCGCAAGCCUGAUGCAGCAACGCCGCGUGAGGGACGACGGCCUUCGGGUUGUAAACCUCUUUUAGUAGGGAAGAAGCGAAAGUGACGGUACCUGCAGAAAAAGCACCGGCUAACUACGUGCCAGCAGCCGCGGUAAUACGUAGGGUGCGAGCGUUGUCCGGAAUUAUUGGGCGUAAAGAGCUCGUAGGCGGUCUGUCGCGUCUGCUGUGAAAACCCGAGGCUCAACCUCGGGCCUGCAGUGGGUACGGGCAGACUAGAGUGCGGUAGGGGAGAAUGGAAUUCCUGGUGUAGCGGUGGAAUGCGCAGAUAUCAGGAGGAACACCGAUGGCGAAGGCAGUUCUCUGGGCCGUAACUGACGCUGAGGAGCGAAAGCGUGGGGAGCGAACAGGAUUAGAUACCCUGGUAGUCCACGCCGUAAACGUUGGGCGCUAGAUGUGGGGACCAUUCCACGGUUUCCGUGUCGCAGCUAACGCAUUAAGCGCCCCGCCUGGGGAGUACGGCCGCAAGGCUAAAACUUGAAAGGAAUUGACGGGGUCAUAGCUGUUUCCU
rnacentral:rRNA from 1 species